rnacentral:rRNA from 1 species
AUGUGGGAAACCACGAUGCGGGGAACCCAAGUGCCAGCGCUAUGCGUUGGCUGUCCUCAAGUGUUCGUAACUUGGGAAGAAAGUGCUGGAUAAGACGGGUGCCAGCCGCCGCGGUAAUACCCGCAGCACAAGUGGUGGUCAUUCUUAUUGGGCCUAAAGCGUCCGUAGCUGGCAUGUUAGAUGCCUGGGUAAAUCGAUGCGCUCAACGCAUCGACUUCCGGGUAGACCGGCAUGCUCGAGACCGGGAGAGGCGUGGGGUACUCGGAGGAUAGGGGUAAAAUCCUGUAAUCCUCCGGGAACGACCAGUGGCGAAGGCGCCACGCUGGAACGGCUCUGACAGUGAGGGACGAAGCCCUGGGGCGCAAACCGGAUUAGAUACCCCUGUAGUCC